ACCUAACGCGAACUGACCGAGUGCGAUAAAUCCUUUCGAUUCUAACGGAUCAAGGAGUCUGACAUUACGUUUGAAAGGAUCGAAAUUCAAGGAUCCAUGGUGUAGUGACAUGUUGACGGGAUCGGUGCGUCCUUUGUAGCUGUCCUUGCGUCAGAGUUUUAUGAUGCAUACCACGAGUUCAUACGGAUCGCUACCCGGGAGAUUCAAUUGCGUGAGAAGAGAGUGUGCUGGCUCGAAGUUGGCGAUCUUACAUGGGGCAAUGCGUGUCGCGUAAGGCGGGCGCCGUCAUCGCAGCAUCCGGCCAUCACGAUUCGCCCUCUUAUAAAAUUAUGGACAAAUCCGCCAAAAUUCAGAAUGACAAUAAGGGUGCAUCGAAACGUGGCGCUCCAUGCACGCGGGGUACUGCAAUGUCGUUCGGUUUUCGUAGAAGACCUACCACAGGAAUCCCGGUACCGAUAACAAAUUAUGCAACGGAUGUAACGUUCUUACACCAACGAUCAAAGUCAGCUGGUCCUGAGCAAACUCGUAGACGAGAUGACGAUGUUACUUACCAGGCCGUUCAAAACUCAUCCUCCGGAAGAUCAACGCCACGACUGGCACCACCGAAAAAAGAAGCCACUGGGGUAUCGACGAGAACAAAUCGUUUUGGAUACAGGCAAUCGCAGGGCAGAUACACGAACAAGGUCGGUGACAUCUGCAACAGUCAUAGUGUUAGCCACUACAAUCAGGAAAGGCUUCAACAGCAACAACAGUAUCACCAACAACAACAACAACAUCAUCAGCAGCACGAGAGUCACGUUCCUAAACAACAGAACAGAGUUGUACAGGUUUAUAAUGUAGCUACAGGAUCGAAGCUACGAGCAUCCUCGGCAAACGUGUCGUCAGCGCACAACAGCAGCAAUAGCGGUGGUAGCAGUGGUGGCAACAAUAAUGUCACCAAUAACGAUGCCAAUCGAAGAGUUUCUGGCAUUCCCGAAUCAGUAGCCAGAUACACGUUACACGCAAGUCAUCUCCCACUACCCCAAUACGCUGUAAGAAUGAGCGAUACCAAUUCGAAAAUCGCAAAGACAGUUGCAAAUCAAAGUAGAAAAAUUUCUACUGGUUCUAAGAGCUCGGCUAGUUCGAAGGAAGGCUCAGGUACCGAGGAUUCUGGUGUUAGCAGCCACCAAAGUUGUCCGGGAGAAAGCGAAAGGACUGAUGGUUACGAUUAUGUAGACGGUGCUAUGACAGCUAGUAGAAGAAGCUUUGGUCGAGGUAGAAAUUUAAAAAUGGUAGUCAGUGGUAAGAGUUUUGACGUUCGAGAUGUUGGAGAUGACGAUAGCACCGUUACCGAAAUAUCCGUAAUACCGUUGCCAAAAUGCUUCGCGAGCCCUAAUUUAAAUACCGGCCUGGUGCGUGAAAGAGCGACGCAAUAUCAAAGAAUCGUUAACAAGGACAACAGGUACACGAGUUCCAUAACUUCGAUGUCAACUACUUCUUCAGAAGGAUACGACGAGGGUUUGGGCGAAGAGAAAGUUUACAAAGACAGAUCUCGUACCGAGAAAAUACCUUCGAUCAAGUCUGACUUUAGUUUGCCUAGCUCGGACGAUCCCGAGUACGGUCACGGGGAAGCAAUGGCUGACGAGUAUUCGCUUAGCUCGAGCGACGAGUGUCAUCGUUCCAAUUCUAACUCUACGCAGCAUAUAAAAACCAUAUCUGACGCUGCUAAGAAUGGAAAUCUACCAAAAAGUACUCUUCGUUCCGUCCUUCUAACCAUCGAGGACCCAGCAUUUGCAGCAGCUGCUGCUACCUCUACCGCCUUAAUAGACGACGAAACGUCACCAGUUGACAGUCUUUUUGACAGUCCUACGGCCAGUAUCACACAAUCCGACGACAAAGUGUCCAAGAAGGAAUGCGUUAUGGAACGAUCUGGGAAUACAAUAGACGAUGACAGUCCUGGCACUCCUACCAAUGCCUCUAAUUCGCUCAGUUUGUCAGAGGGAAAAGAAUUUUUUGACGAUGAAAUUGCCGAUCAGCCUGGAUUAAUAUUCGACGAUAAUUCGGUCGUUGCGGUUGAGACUCAAUCCGUGGCAAUUAAUCAAGUGGUCACAGAAAACAGUCACACUUUGGUCGAAUCGAUCACUAAAUCAAAUAUACAAUCUGGAAAAAAUUCUGGUAUUAGUCCUUUUCAUGGUAAACGAAUAAGUCGUGCCGGAAGCGUCGAUACCUUAUCACCUUGCGAAUCAAUUGCUUCCGACGAUUUGAUGUUAGAUUAUGAACGCAGUGACGCAAGUUCAACCGAGGAUACGCAUAAUCGAUUGGAUUCUAAUCCAGCGUUGCACGAACUGGACGAUGCAACCAUACUUUCCGAAUUGGAGGCACAAGGAGAAGAAGUGAUGAGACAGUGGACCUCAUUAUUGGGCACGACUCAACCUACGCAACAACAAACUUCUAAUUCUAAUACUGUAAACAAUAAUAUCAACAACAGCAUCUCUAACAACAACAAUCACUCCUCUACGGAAUCUGGAAUCAUAAAUGGCAGAAAUUCGAGAUUAUUGCGAAACAGGUCUGGUGCAGAAUCACCGCGUUCGUUGGACAGCGUUCGUAGUCGUCAAAUACCAAGUCCUCUAAGAACACCGAGAAGUAUUCCAUCUCCCAGUUUUGAUUCGAGCGACGACACAACCAUCAGAAUUGAUCGUGCAACCUUCCAGUAUAUGUUUCAAGACAUUGUCUCUCUUAAGACUAUGCUCUUAAAACUAAAACGAGUACUUCAGGAGUCAGGAGAGAACAGUUUGACGAGGCCAGAAGCUCUCAACCCAUUCGAUAAUACUGUGAAGAAUGGUCUCUUCUACACCCUGAGCGAAGGUGGUACAGCGGAUGUCAGCACGUCACCAGGAAGCGGAGGAAGUAGUAUCGCCGACGAGUUGACGGAUUUACGUAGACAAGUGGUCUUUUUACAAGGACAAGUAGAAGAUAAAGAUCGAACUAUACAAAUACUUCAGUUUCAAAUGGCAAAAUUAAAAGCUUCGAAUGGCACAGACGUCGAAAAUAAUACGUCGUCGGCGAAUUGUAGUAAAACUUUGCUAGUGGACAUGUGCAAUGCUGCCACGCAAACCGAAAAGAUACGACCAGUGUCAGCAGGACCUUCGCUUCUGCAAUCACUUCCCCAAGAUAGCACAAUAGGGCCUUUCGUCAGCUUCAGGAUUGGGAAGGUAGAGUGCACCAGUCUAUGUGAUUUAUUUUUGGGAUAUUUACUUCUUUCUGCACUUAAUGCCUUUAUAUUUGUCCAUCUUUUCUAUCGAAAAUAUAUUUAUUUGAUCACAUAGCAAUGAUAUUACAAUUCAUGCUGCAUGAAGAUCCAAUCUUACUUGUGAUCUAUAUAUACAUAUAUCUAUAUAUAUUUGUUGACGCGCACUCGAUUAUUUCUUAAUAUUUUUUUAAAUCAAUAAUACAGGGGGUCUAAUUUUGUUCCUUAUGGAUGCUAAGAAAUUGAUAGAUACAAACAUUCUUAUUUUUAUAUAAAUAAAAUUUCAUUUGAUGAAAAUAAUGAAGUGCAACUCUCUUAAUUACUAAUUUUAAUGGUAUGAUAUAACUACAGCAUGUGUAUUAUAAAUGACACGCAUACAUUAAAUAUAUGUAUUAGAUAAUUGUUUUUCUUAUUUAUUUCGAUUGUAAUGGAUUUACAAUUAAUGAUCUUUCAUGCUGCAACGAAUAGCCUUGCACGUUGGAGUGAUUCAAGGAAUUGCCAACGUCCUUCAUCGCUAGGAGAGCUUAACCAUUUUAGGAACCUAC
rnacentral:misc_RNA from 1 species